UUUGAGACUUUUUUUACUUAAUUUGGUGAAGAAACGGACAAAUCACCAUUGUUGGACCUCUUAAGGUCGGGAAUACAAUGUGGCUUUUUCUUGGUGUUCUUGCUAGCAAUUCUUGUCCAAUUUGUCACAAUAAUUACCAUAGUAUUGCAAGAAAUUAUUUGAUUGCUUGAAAAAUGUCGUGUAUGCUCAAUAUGAAAUUGUGCACUGUUUUAGUACUACUUACUCUGUUUUUUUGCGAAUAUAGUAUCAUGCGGCUAGGCGAACCUUAGAUACUAUAGAACCUUAAUUUAUGAUGAUUUUGCACAAUGUAGCAUGGCUAGACAACGAGGUUCGGGUUCAUGAUCCCGAGACACACGACGGGAGCAUGAGCCCGUAGAGGACGCCGAACCGUCCACUUCUCUUGGUCCCCUCUCUGAGUGAGAUGAGCGGACUCAUGUACUUCUCCCCCGUCCACCAUAUUUCUGAGAGGGUGCGACGUGAGAUCACAGUUGGUAGGACGCGCUACCAUGGCUCAGGCUGCGAUACCCUAGGCGACCUGUACAAGAUGCAUAUCAUUGUCGAUGGAGAGGUGAGACUUCUUUGGGAAUCUUGCGGGUUGACUGCACUGUUUGAGACCUCAGAGGCCAUGAUUACCUCUAGCGGGGGUCACCACGUGGCUCGUGCUCUGGUGUAGUUCUUUUGGGACACCACCAACACUUUCCACUUCCCUUGGGGUGAGAUGAUGGUCACCCCGACCGACUUAAGUCUCAUUACGAGACUGGAGUUUAGUUCUACUGUGCUGCCGUUUGACAACGAGAUUAGUAUCUUCUCUCCUGAGGUUGAGGAGCUGUUGGGAUUGAUUGCUGUUCAGGCUCGUGCUAAGGUAGAGUCGACUCAGUUUAGCGCUAAAGGCAUUCGCCGAUUGGCUCUGGCGGCAGCUUUCGAGGAUGAUGUGACCACCCGAAAGCAGCAGGUACGUAUCUUUGUGCUUAUCUUGUUGUCAGGGAUGUUUUCCCUUAACAAGGGUAGUAGAGUGCUGCUUUACUACCUACCUGCGGUCCAUGAUCUUCACUUGAUCGGGACUUAUGACUGGGCCAGCUUGGCCUAUGCUGACUUUGUUCGAGCGGUACGAGACUCGUGUCGACAUCGGUCCUUCACGGGGAACGUCGCUCUGUUCGCCUUCUGGAGAGUAGUAGAGAUCUGGUUCUACGAGUACUUUCCUUUAGUUGCACUGGCGAGACCGUCGCUGCGCAGGUUUCUAGUGAGUGCCUGUUGAUGAGGCCGCCGGGCUGAGAUGUCUACUGCUUAUGUCCAAGAUCAGAUCAUCUCGGAGCCUAACGUGUAGUACCGGCCAUGGAUCAACUUGGUUGUCCCUGGGUUAGCUGCGCAGUAUACCGCCGAGCGUCGCUACUUCAUAGGGACAUAUGGGGCGAUUGCAUAUCUUGGAGAGAGGGUUGCCAUUCAGCAUUCCUCAGACACUUUUGUCGUUCCUGCUUCUCCACCGUGUCAUAUGUUCAAUGGCGUGAGGCUGGUGAAUAUGUUAGAGAGAGAUGGUACCCCUUGGCAAUCUUAUACAAUCCCUGGGCGGUGCUAUGAGGUGGAGCUGCUGCUAAUGCCUCUGUUAGCUCCAACCCCUGUUCUAGUCGAGGAGGUGGCGGCAUGAUUUCCAUGUUUUACCUUUUGUUAAGUAGCACCCAAGUGAUAUCUUACUGACUUUGAUUUGCUUUCGUCAUGCGAGACCUACUGAGUUCGUGCCACCUCGUAUGUCCACCCAUUAUUAGGGGACAUACGGGCCGAUUGAGGAGAUGAUUCCUUUGGCUCCCGAGGAUGAGCACUUCGUGGAGCGGUAGAUUCCUCGUCACCAGACUCGGGUAAGCUUUAUUUAUUUUCAAUUUUGUUCAUGUAUGUUAUGCAUUGUUACUGACUAAAUUUCUUUGACUGUUAUCGCGCGAGUGAUCACGGCGAUGGCACGGUGUAUAGAUGCCUUCCGGAGCCAGCUCAUUCGGAUGAGGAAUGUGGCUUCGUGUCGUCGCGACGACGCCAUUCAGAAGGGUCAGCCCAUUCCUUCUCGUACCCGGACGAAACUUGAGGUGUGGAGAGACCCGGCGAGGUCUAGCUCGAGACGUUGCCGUACUGGCUCUGGCGGUUACGGUGGUCGUUCUGAGGCUGCUCGGACCGAGGCGGUGGAGGGCUCGGGCUCUUCAUCUGAGGGUGCACAUGUUGGGCUGGUAGGCCAGGGAGAGGCUACCACGGCUCUUAGAGGUAGUUGGAUAUACGAGGUCGGCUUGUCAUCGCAUAAGCCUCCGCAGCCACAGCCCCAGGGUGAUCUUGGAUGGCGGGUCCUGAGCUGAGUUUUCCACCUCCCGAUGAGACUGAAGCUAGAGCUGGUGGAGAGGUUACUCCUCGUACUACGUAGUUUUAUGAUUUGAUGGGUGUCUCUCAUCAUCUGCGUCCUUCGGCACCGUAGUUUUUAACUGUGCUUUUUUUAUUUUGACUUUGUUUAGAACUUUUCCUUUAUUAGACUCAUUUAUUAGACAUAUUUGUAUAUACAUACCACUAUUAAUUUAUUAAUUUAAACAUUUAUUUAUUAUAUUAUGUGCAUGUUUAUGUGUGCAAUGAAUUGUGAUAAUUAAUAGUUUUGCGCAAAAAAUUCGUCAUUUUUAUUAUUGAUGGAGGGCAUCCGACUUUCUCCC